rnacentral:rRNA from 1 species
UACGAAGGGGGCUAGCGUUGCUCGGAAUUACUGGGCGUAAAGGGAGCGUAGGCGGGCGUUUUAAGUCAGAGGUCAAAUCCCGGGGCUCAACCUCGGAACUGCCUUUGAUACUGGACGCCUAGAGUAUGGGAGAGGUGAGUGGAACUCCGAGUGUAGAGGUGAAAUUCGUAGAUAUUCGGAAGAACACCAGUGGCGAAGGCGACUCACUGGCCCAUUACUGACGCUGAGGCGCGAAAGCGUGGGGAGCAAACAGG